GAACUAUGCCUGAGUAGGAUGAAGCCGGAGGAAACUCUGGUGGAGGUCCGAAGCGCUUUUGACGUGCAAAUCAAUCGUCAGACUUGGGUAUAGGGGCGAAAGACUAAUCGAACCAUCUAGUAGCUGGUUCCCUUCGAAGUUUCCCCCAGGAAAGCUGGUGCCAUGUUUGACAGUUUUAUCUGGUAAAGCGAAUGAUUAGAGGCAUUGGGGACGAAUUGUCCUCGACCUAUUCUCAAACUUUAAAUGGGUAAUGUACCGUUGUACUUCUUGAUAUUCAUGAGUGCUCGGUCAAAUGCAAUGGCGCCAAGUGGGCCAUUUUUGGUAAGCAGAACUGGCGAUGUGGGAUGAACCAAACGUUGAGCUAGGAUGCCCAAAGUGCUUCUCAUGAGAUACCAUGAAAGGUGUCAGUCGAUAUUGACAGCAGGACGGUGGCCGCAGAAGUAGGAAUCCGCUAAGGAGUGUGUAACAACUCACCUGCCGAAUCGACUGGUCCUGAAAAUGGAUGGCGCUGGAGACGUAUAUCCAUGCUCGACCGUCAAUGCCAACGAAAGCGAUUGCUAUAUGGCUUGACGUGUAGAAGGGCGAUUGCCGUGGCGUCGAAACUUGCACCGUGAGGUGGGGUAGAGCUGCGGCAUGUGCAGAUCUUGGUGGUAGUAGCAAGUAUUCAAAUGAGAGCAUUGAAGACUGAAGUGGAGUAAGGUUCCUAUGUGAACAGCAUUUGGACAUGGAUCAGCCGAUCCUAAGAGAACGUGUAAGUUCGUGAUUAAGCGCGUCGCCUNGUGCGUCGCAAUCGAAAGGGAAUCGGGUUAAUAUUCCCGAGCCAGGAUACGGAAUGAGCCUGAUUAAUCGAAAGUACCUUGUGUGCUUUUGACUUCAGGCAAAAGCGGCAACGCCAACAAACCCAGAGAUUAACUAUGCGAAGUCCGGGGAAGAGUUUUCUCUUCUUUGUAAGGGAUGUUAUCCCUGGAAACAGAUUGUCUGGCGAUAGGGUACGCAUCCCGUAAUGCAACGCGAUUCCUGCGAUGUACCGUGCGCUUCGUAUAGUGCUUGAAAAUCUGGGAGCGAGUUUGUUCAGGCCGUACCUGUUCGUACUGAUUUCCGCAGCAGGUCUCCAAGGUGAGCAGCCUCUAGUCGAUGGGACAAAGUAGACAAGGGAAGUCGGCAAAUUAGAUCCGUAACUUCGGAAAAAGGAUUGGCUCUAAAGGCUGAGUUGGUCGGGCGGUUGCGUAAAGCUGGGAGCGAUGCUUUGACUCUGUCUCAGACUCCAUACUCGCAAGGGAUAUGUAAUCGGCGGCGGAGCUUAGUAUUUGCUCACUGUGGACCGCGGUCGCUAUGCCACCCAUGCGGUGUCAAAAUUCAUUUUCGAGCCGUGCGGUGUGGAUCCGAUCAGCGUUUAACAGCUGACCUAGAACUGGUAUGGACAAGGGGAAUCCAACUGUUUAAUUAAAACAAAGCAUUGCGAUAGCUGUAAUCGGUGUUGACGCGAUGUGAUUUCUGCCCAGUGCUCUGAAUGUUAAAGUGAAGGAACUCAUUAAAGCGCGAGUUAACGGCGGAAGUAACUAUGACUUUCUUAAGGUAGCCAAAUGCCUCGUCAUCUAAUUAGUGACGUGCAUGAAUGGAUUAUUGAGAUUCCUUCUGUCCCUGUCUGCAACCUAGCGAAACCACAGCCAAGGGAACGGGCUUGGAGAGUAACAGCGGGGAAAGAAGACCCUGUUGAGCUUGACUCUAGUCAGUCUUUGUGAAGAAACAUGAUGGGUGUAGAAUAGGUGGGAGGACGCGACAGUGAAAUACCACUACUAUCAUCGUUUCUUUACUUACUCAAUUGAUCAGGGAGCGUGAAUUCGCUAUUUGCGAUGUAUGAUUAUUCCUUCAGUGGAAUAAGUGUCUGGUUUGAGAACACAGACUGAUUGGGAGUUUGACUGGGGCGGUACAUCUGUUAAAAUCUAACGCAGGUGUCCUAAGGCAAUCUCAGCGUGGACAGAAACCUCGCAUAGAGCGAAAGGGCAAAAGAUUGCUUGAUCUUGAUUUUCAGUACGAAUAAAGACAAUGAAAGUUUGGCUUGUCGAUCCUUUUGAAUUUUACGAGUUUUAAGCARGAGGUGUCCGAAAAGUUACCACAGAGGA
rnacentral:rRNA from 1 species